rnacentral:hammerhead_ribozyme from 11 species
AGGAGUUAGAGCUAUUUCCCUGAUGAGUCCGUGGCAGGACGAAACCGGUC